GUUUCCGCGGCUCGCUAGAAGGAGUGUGGUCCACCGGAGGACUCCCUACAUUCUUCCUCCAUUACCUCACUGCCUCCGGUGGCUGCUGGGAUACCGGAGGACUCGGGUCCCGGCUCGACUCAGUCCUCCAGCCGCCCGGGGAAUACCUCUAGUUCUUCCCGGCCGCCGCCGCCGCCGCCGCCCCGCCGCUUCCUCCUCCGCCUGCCGGCCUCCUUCGCCCCGUCCCGUCCGCGCAGCGCGUCCGGCCCGCCCGCAGGCCAGCUUCUCUCGGGAGCCCCCACCCAGGCGCAUGGCUCCAUGAAGCAAGAGGAGGAGGCAGAGCGCGAGAGGUCCCGUCCGCCCCAGCCGCGUCUGGGCCAGGAUAAAAGCAAAACCAUAUUCCUGCUGCUGUCAGUUAUGAUGCACUGAGAAAACUUCAGAGACCUAAACUUUUUCCAGAGAAGAGAAGCUUUACUGGUGUUCCAGCCCUAAGAAACUUAAAUCCUCAGUGUGACACAACUCAGUCCUUCUACUGCAGCAGCUCUUUUAUAAAAGCCUCCCAAAGCUCCAAGAAGGAACAAAGAAUGUGACCCAGUAAGCUCACACCAUAAAUCUAUAUUGCAGAAACCUUUGUUCAAGAAAACGGCAGAUGCUCUGUUGAAUCCACUGGAGAUUGUUCUGAUACUAAGGACAAGUAUCAACCAUCUUUCCUGUGAAAAAUUCCCUCUCGUACUUUAGUUCUGUGGAUCCAAAAUUUAUAGCAUUCUUCUACCACCACAGGGGCUCAUAUGACAUUAACAGACAAGACACUUUUCAGAAAGACAGGUUGUUCUUUUGGGCCACAUCUAAGAAAUCUUUGUCUAGCCAAAAGCCACAAAUAAUUUCUCAUUUUUUGGCUUCUGGAAGAUGUACAGUUAAAUGUUAUAUUUGGGACUGUUAUCUAAUUUGAUUAAAUUGCACUCUACAAUAUGAUAUUUGAAUUGAUGAAAAAUUAGUAAAUGUUAAUAUUUUUUAAAGUAGCCAAAUCUUGCAAUUUAUAUAUAAUAGAGAAGACUAGAAAAUCCCCCAUAUUUAUUUCCUCUUACUUCGUACUACUAAAAUUUGUAUUUAGGCAUUUGGUUUCUCAGAUAAACAUUACAUUCCCCAGUAUAUGGUUCUAUCUGGCUUGGUGACGACAUGUUGAACAUUAAGAUGUGAGCAGAAGUAAUACAUACACACUCUUUUUCAUGUCUUUAAUUGAAUGGGAUAUUGGCCCAUUUUUUCUUCCAGUUUAUUACACUGAAUAUUGACAUGUUAUUUUCCAAUAUUGAGACAAUCAAUGACAAGACUUUAAGAGUAACAAUGUAAAAAUACAGAAGUUGUCUGAGUUUAUCAACAAUCCCCUGGAUUAGAACCCCCUACCAGUUCUAGGUCAUCUAAUAUAUAGACAUUGUGUUCAGUAGAAAUAAAUAUAUAUAUUUUUUAUUAUGCUUUAAGUUCUAGGAUACAUGUGCACAACAUGCAGGUUUGUUACAUUGGUAUACACGUGCCAUGUUGGUUUGCUGCACCCAUUAACUCAUCAUUUACAUUAGGUAUUUCUCCUAAUGCUAUCCCUCCCCCUGCCCCCACCCCCCGACAGGCCCUGGGGUGUGAUUUUCCCCACCCUGUGUCCAAGUGUUCUCAUUGCUCAAUUCCCACCUAUGGGAAUACAUUUUUAAAUCAUUUUUGAAGGUGUUAUUACAUUCUGAUUGAACAUUUUCAGAAAGAAUAAAUCAUUUAAUACAAGAAGUGGGCCACUUCAUGUAACAAAACAAACCACCACUACAGCAACAACAACAAAAAACACAAAUGAAUGUGACUUUAGCUUUGCAACAUCGUGACAGACUAGCAAGUUAAUGACAUUUGUUAUGCCAUAGAAAAUAUUUGUUGAAUUGCCACUCUAAUGACUUUAUAUCAGCCAACUCAUUAUCAACACUAGAAAAGAUGAUUAAAAAAUACUUCAGUACGUUCACGUGUUGGCUUGUUAACAUUUUUAAGAGUCUAUAAGAGAAAAAUGCAUCCAAUCUCGACAAAAAUAUUUUUCAAGUAUCUUGUAGGUACGUACAACUAACUACCUUGUGAACAAAAGUCACUAUAUAAUUAUAUAAUUUCUGACACUUAAAAAAGAUUAUUGUGCAAAAGAAGAUAUAUGUUCUAAUACCAAAUCCACAUAUAAAAUAAUUGACUUAUUUAAAUAAUUUAAGAUGCUCUUUUAUAUAUUUAUAUUAAAAACUUUACAGAGAAUAAAAAAAGCAUUAU
rnacentral:lncRNA from 1 species